rnacentral:rRNA from 1 species
GAUGAACGCUGACAGAAUGCUUAACACACGCAAGUCGAUUCGAUUUACCUUCGGGUAUUGAGGAUGGCGGACGGGUGAGUAACGCGUAAGGAACUUGCCUCUUGGUCUGGGACAACUGUUGGAAACGACAGCUAAUACCGGAUAUUAUGAGAUUCUCGCAUGGGAAACUUAUGAAAGCUAUAUGCGCCAAGAGAGAGCCUUGCGUUCCAUUAGCUAGUUGGUGGGGUAACGGCCCACCAAGGCGACGAUGGAUAGCCGGCCUGAGAGGGUGAACGGCCACAAGGGGACUGAGACACGGCCCUUACUCCUACGGGAGGCAGCAGUGGGGAAUAUUGGACAAUGGGCCACAAGCCUGAUCCAGCAAUUCUGUGUGCACGAUGAAGGUCUUCGGAUUGUAAAGUGCUUUCAGUUGGGAAGAAGAAAGUGACGGUACCAACAGAAGAAGCGACGGCUAAAUACGUGCCAGCAGCCGCGGUAAUACGUAUGUCGCAAGCGUUAUCCGGAUUUAUUGGGCGUAAAGCGCGUCUAGGCGGAAAAAUAAGUCUGAUGUUAAAAUGCGGGGCUCAACUCCGUAUUGCGUUGGAAACUGUUUUUCUAGAGUACUGGAGAGGUGGGCGGAACUACAAGUGUAGAGGUGAAAUUCGUAGAUAUUUGUAGGAAUGCCGAUGGAGAAGUCAGCUCACUGGACAGAUACUGACGCUAAAGCNCGAAAGCGUGGGGAGCAAACAGG